rnacentral:rRNA from 1 species
UACGAAGGGGGCUAGCGUUGCUCGGAAUCACUGGGCGUAAAGCGCACGUAGGCGGAUUCCUAAGUCGGUGGUGAAAUCCUGGAGCUCAACUCCAGAACUGCCUCCGAUACUGAGAGUCUUCGAGUCCGGGAGAGGUGAGUGGAACUGCGAGUGUAGAGGUGAAAUUCGUAGAUAUUCGCAAGAACACCAGUGGCGAAGGCGGCUCACUGGCCCGGUACUGACGCUGAUGCGCGAAAGCCAGGGGAGCAAACGGG